ensembl:snRNA U6 U6 spliceosomal RNA
GUGCUCAGUUAACCAACAUAUAUAAUAAAAUUGAAACACGACACAGAACAUUAGCAUGACCCCUGCGCAAGGAUGACAUGCAGAUUUGGGAAGCAUUCCAUAUUUUU